rnacentral:lncRNA from 1 species
UAGGCAUCACUCUUGGAGAUAGAAGAGAGGUGGGUGGCAUCCCUUUUCUUUAAUGUCAAAUGUUGGUGCCAAGUUGUUAGUAGUUUCAUCCUCUUCCUCUCAAGUUUGUUGAGCGUUAGUUACAAUCAUUUCUUAUUUGUUGUUCUUCUUGAUUAGUUGAGGGAUCAAAAAAGAUUCUUAGUUUCUUCAAGAAUGGAGAAAGAAAGAUCCAAAGGGUUCACAAAUUGAUCCAUGUCCAGAUUUGAUUCAAGCCUUUUCAGGCUUUCGGUUCAAGCAAGCAGGAUCCAAGAGAAAAUAAUUGAGAUCGGCC